rnacentral:rRNA from 1 species
CCUACGGGGCGCAGCAGUGGGGAAUAUUGCGCAAUGGGCGAAAGCCUGACGCAGCGACGCCGCGUGAGGGAUGAAGGUCUUCGGAUCGUAAACCUCUGUCAGCAGGGAAGAACGGUCACUGUGCUAAUCAGCAGUGAAUUGACGGUACCUGCAAAGGAAGCACCGGCUAACUCCGUGCCAGCAGCCGCGGUAAUACGUAGGGUGCGAGCGUUAAUCGGAAUUACUGGGCGUAAAGCGCUCGUAGGCGGUAUGUCAAGUCAAGGGUGAAAUCCCCGCGCUCAACGUGGGAACUGCCUUUGAAACGGGCAAACUGGAGUGUGUGAGAGGAUAGUGGAAUUCCAGGUGUAGGAGUGAAAUGCGUAGAUAUCUGGAGGAACAUCAGUGGCGAAGGCGACUAUCUGGCACAUAACUGACGCUGAGGAGCGAAAGCGUGGGUAGCAAACAGGAUUAGAUACCCGAGUAGUC